AUUGAACGCUGGCGGCAGGCCUAACACAUGCAAGUCGAGCGGAGCGGCGGACGGGUGAGUAAUGCCUAGGAAUCUGCCUGGCAGCGGGGGAUAACGUCCGGAAACGGGCGCUAAUCCCGCAUACUAUCAGAUGAGCCUAGGUCGGAUUAGCUAGUUGGUGGGGUAAAGGCCUACCAAGGCGACGACCCGUAACUGGACUGAGAGGAUGAUCAGUCACACUGGAACUGAGACACGGUCAAGACUCCUACGGAAGGCAGCAGUGGGGAAUAUUGGAAAAUGGGCGAAAGCCUGAUCCGGACAUGCCGCGUGUGUGAAGAAGGUCUUCGGAUGGAAAAGCACUUUAAGUUAGGAGACGUUACCAACAGAAUAAGCACCGGCUAACUUCGUGCCAGCAGCCGCGGUAAUUC
rnacentral:rRNA from 1 species